AGAACCUGCUUUACAGAAGUGUUUAUGAGAAUACAUUUCAGCUAUUCUUUUCUUGUCACUUGGAGGCCUGGUUGAUUUUAAUCCCACCUAUCAAUCUGAACAAGCACACAUGGAAAUACCCACUUACUUUGAAUUUUCUGGAAAAAUCCCACUGAAUUUUAAGCAGAAUACUUAGUUCCCUCUACACAGCCUGGAGUAGGAGCAGGAUGACCACAGCCACUCUGCAGAGCUUAAGCUGGGAACUCACACCAAGACC